rnacentral:misc_RNA from 1 species
CAUACACCGCAAUUUUGAAAUUUCUAAACCUUCAACAGUUGUAGUUUAUUCAAAAAAGCUACAGCAAUCCAGUCCAAAUGAACAGGCGACCAACGUACGUUGUUGAUUUCAGCCGUUGAUCCAUACCACAUAUCAGGGUCCAUAUCACCACCAAAACCGUUUUCCGACCGGUGACCAGAGUCCACCACUUCCCAUAUCAAGGCCCUAGAAUCAUCUCCGGCCGAGCAUAUCUGCCGUCCGGAAACCGAAGCCCAAGAUAUAGCAUUAACGCUUGCCUUAUGCUUGCACAGCUCCAUCAAUGGAGUCGUUGGAAAGCGAAUGUCUAAAAUUACUACCUUAUUACUAUCCAUACCAACUGUGGCUACAAAUCUUGGGUCACAUUUAUUCCACUCUAGCCGUAACAAAGGACAUUCUUGAAUAGGGUUUUCAUAAAUUAUUGUUGAUCUUUCUUUGUCCCUUAGAUCAAAAACUCUAACUGAACCAUCACCAGAAACUGAAGCAAAAACAUUCAAUCCCCCCCAAGAAAUAUCAUACACUUCUUUAUCAUGUGCGACUAGUUGGGAGUCCACAGUCUCCUUCUCUAUAUCCCAAAUCGUACAAGUAGUGUCCACACUAGAUUUAGCCACUCGACGAACAUCAAAAUCUGCCCAAUCAAAAGAUGUUAUAGCUGAAUUAAAUUCGCUGCUCUUAUUGCCAUUGAACAGGGACUUGAGCUCAAUUCUGUCAUCAUAAAUUUGCCAUAGACGUAAGUAGUCGCCGGAGGUGGCGACAAUAUCGGGAUUUGCACUGUCCUCAGAGGGGAAGAACAUGAUGUUUGUGGGUGCAUAAGGGUGGUCGAAGAUGAGCCGGUUAUCGGUGGAGAAAUCACAAGUGUGAAGAUUGAAUUGAACGAGCUCAACUUUGUUGCUAUAGUCUUCAAGAAAACUCCCAAUAGCUAGACGGUGUUUCUUGUCAUGGCGAACCGACCAAGCAAGUGCAUAAAUAGGCCACUGAGCCAUGUAGGUGUAGACGCCAACUCUUUUAUUCUCUGAAGGGCUUUGCAUGGCCGCUCUAUAUAUAUCAGAUCCAAAAUGAAUGGAAUCGGUGAGGGACAAUUUUCUGCAGGAGA